rnacentral:rRNA from 1 species
CAGUAGCCGCGGUAAUACCGAGGAUGCAAGCGUUAUUCGGAAUGAUUGGGCGUAAAGCAUCUAUAGGUGGCUUUUCAAGUCCGCCGUCAGAUCCCUGAGCUCAACCCUGGACAAGCAGUGGAAACCACCAAGCUAGAGUAAGGUAGGGGCAGAGGGAAUUUCUGGUGGAGCGGUGGAAUGCGUUGAGAUCGGAAGGAGCGCCCGUGGCGAAAGCGAGUCCCUGGACCCUUACUGACGCUGAGACGCGAAAGCCAGGGGAGCGAACGGGAUUAGAUACCCGUGUAGUCCCUGUCUUUAUACA